GAUGAACGCUGGCGGCGUGCCUAAUACAUGCGAGUCGAGCGAACAGACGAGGAGCUUGCUUCUCUGACGUUAGCGGCGGACGUGUGAGUAACACGUGGAUAACCUACCUAUAAGACUGGGAUCACUUCGGGAAACCGUCGCUAAUACCGGAUAAUAUUUUGAACCGCAUGGUUCAAUAGUGAAAGACGGUCUUUCUGUCACUUAUAGAUGGAUCCGCGCUGCAUUAGCUAGUUGGUAAGGUAACGGCUUACCAAGGCAACGAUGCGUAGCCGACCUGAGAGGGUGAUCGGCCACACUGGAGCUGAGACACGGUCCAGACUCCUACGGGAGGCAGCAGUAGGGAAUCUUCCGCAAUGGGCGAAAGCCUGACGGAGCAACGCCGCGUGAGUGAUGAAGGUCUUCGGAUCGUAAAACUCUGUUAUUAGGGAAGAACAGAUGUGUAAGUAACUGUGCACAUCUUGACGGUACCUAAUCAGAAAGCCACGGCUAACUACGUG
rnacentral:rRNA from 1 species